AUGAAGGCAUGUGAUGCAGCCAAUACAUCUGACCCGUUAAAAGUCACGUGACUUCUAGAAAUUUGGAAAAGAUGAAUCGAAGAGCGAUCGCGGUGUCCACCGUUUGGGAAAACCGUCAAUUGGUUGAGCGACGACGUUACAGCUUCCAUUCGUGUCAGUAGCCAGUCACUUCCGUGCGUGCUUUGAACUGCAGAGACGACAACAGCGCCGGAGAUGAUGGACGCCUCUGUUUACCACUGUAAGCAUUCGAUACCAGCGUCUCACGGAUAAUCAAAUAUUUCCUGAAUAUGUUUCCUGAUCAUUUCC